rnacentral:rRNA from 1 species
CCUACGGGAGGCAGCAGUAGGGAAUCUUCCGCAAUGGACGAAAGUCUGACGGAGCAACGCCGCGUGAACGAUGAAGGCCUUCGGGUCGUAAAGUUCUGUUGUUAGGGAAGAACAAGUGCUAGUUAAAUAAGCUGGCACCUUGACGGUACCUAACCAGAAAGCCACGGCUAACUACGUGCCAGCAGCCGCGGUAAUACGUAGGUGGCAAGCGUUGUCCGGAAUUAUUGGGCGUAAAGCGCGCGCAGGCGGUUUCUUAAGUCUGAUGUGAAAGCCCCCGGCUCAACCGGGGAGGGUCAUUGGAAACUGGGAAACUUGAGUGCAGAAGAGGAAAGUGGAAUUCCAAGUGUAGCGGUGGAAUGCGUAGAGAUUUGGAGGAACACCAGUGGCGAAGGCGACUUUCUGGCCUGUAACUGACGCUGAGGCGCGAAAGCGUGGGGAGCAAACAGGAUUAGAUACCCUGGUAGUCCACGCUGUAAACGAUGAGUGCUAAGUGUUAGAGGGUUUCCGCCUUUAGUGCUGAAGUUAACGCAUUAAGCACUCCGCCUGGGGAGUCGGUCGCAAGCUGAAACUUAAUGAAUUGACGGNUUGAGAGNGCGAGCGACGACGAGGAGAGG